rnacentral:rRNA from 1 species
UCGACAACCUGGUUGAUCCUGCCAGUAGUGUAUGCUUUUCCUAAAGAUUAAGCCAUGCAUGCCUAAGACUAUGAGGAAGCAAUUCUCUCUGAAUCUGCGAACGGCUCCGCAAACCAGUUGUAAACCAUAGCAGCGUUCCGCCCGGCUUCAGCAAUGGGGCCGGGCAUUAUAUGGAUAACCGUGGUAAUUCUGAGGCUAAUACAUGACACACUAACCCGUCGGGCUGGGGGCAACCUCGGCUUGGUGGGGGACGUGCGAUAAACACCGGCUACAAUUAAAAAUACCGCGAAAAGGACGCACGUUCAGACCGCCAUCCAAACGGGGGAGGGGGCUUCGGCUUCGGAACCCGGGCGGCCCCUGCAACGGGCUUCUGACCUAUCAACUAGACGGCAGCGUAAGGGACAUGCUAUGGUAACAACGGGUACAGAGGAUUAGGGUUCGAUCCUGGAGAGUGGGCCUGAGAGAUUGCUCAUACUUCUAAGGAAGGCAGCAGGCGCGCAACGUUCCCCUUGGGCAAAGCUCGAGGGCGUUAUGGGAAAUAUGAAUGCUUGCCUUUACGGUGGGCAAUUCAAAUGGGUUUGUCGUAAACAGGCUCUCGAGUAACAAUUAGAGGACAAGUCUGGUGCCAGCACCCGCGGUAAUUCCAGCUCUAAUAGCAUACGUUAAAGUUGUUGCGGUUAAAACGCUCGUAGUCGGCUUCAGACCAUCAGAAGCCUGGCUCGGGGUCUCGGGUCUGUGCCUCGCAAGGGGUGCGCCUUGGUCUUGGGCCGGGUGGGCGGCGGUCAAUCGUGCCCAGUGGCGUGUCGCGGCUUGCCGUGGCUUACAGGGCCUUCGGGAUCAAAACCCGGCUUCCGCAAGGGGGUCGGGUCCCGUCGGUCUGGCUCUGGGUACCAAUUACCAUGAUUAAACCGGAGUGAUCAAAGCAAACCGCUGCGGUUACUGCACGGAUUAGCAUGGCAUAAGGAUGCGUCGGGUUGGUCUCGUAGCGGGCCUCCUCGGCAAUUCCGCGAAAGGGGUGUUCGGGGGCAGCCGAAUUGCCGGGCUAGUGGUGAAAUACGUUGACCCUGGCAAGUCGACCGAAAGCGAAAGCAGCUGUCAAGGGCACACCCGUUGAUCAAGAGCGAAAGUUAAGGGUUCGAAGACGAUCAGAUACCGUCGUAGUCUUAACUAUAAAUGAUACUGGCCAGGGAUAGGGCAAUGUCCAUCUCGACUCCCCCCGGACUUUUGGGAAACCAAAGCCUAUGAGUUCUGGGGGGAGUAUGGUCGCAAGGCUGAAACUUAAAGGAAUUGACGGAAGGGCACACAAAGAGUGGAACCUGCGGCUUAAUUUGACUCAACACGGGAAAACUCACCGGGUCCAGAUACAUGGAUGAAAGACAAGCUGAUAGACUUUUCUCAAUUAUGUAAGUGGUGGUGCAUGGCCGUUCUUAGUUCGUGGAGUGGUUUGUCUGGUCUAUUCCGAUAACGAGCGAGACCCCAACGGUCUAAAUAGGGGCCGCAGCCCGGCUCGGCUCGCCUUCACGGGUGGGCCUUGCUAGCAGCGCGCUUCGAAGGCAAGCUUCUUAGACGGAUCGGGGCCGAUAAGGUCUCUGAAAUGGGUUAAUAACAGGUCAGUCAUGCCCUUAGAUGUUCCGGGCCGCACGCGCGUUACAAUGGGGGGCAAAACGAGUGUCCGUCAGGGCUUUUCCGCCGCCUACCGGUGGUGGUAACCCGUAGGGCCCCCCUUGACUGGGCUAGUCUCUUGCAAUUAUUGGUCUUCAACGAGGAAUUUUUAGUAGGCGCGGGUCAUUAACCCGUGCCGAAUGCGUCCCUGCCCUUUGUACACACCGCCCGUCGCUGCUACCGAUUGGGUUUCGCGGUUACGUAUUCGGAGAUUCUUUCAACUGCUGCCGCAAGGCGGCGGGCGACUGGGUCUAAGUCUAAAUUACCGCACGGCCUAGAGGAAGCAGAAGUCGUAACAAGGUAAUCGUAGGUGAACCUGCAGAAGGAUCAAGCUUGGAUCCCGGG